rnacentral:lncRNA from 1 species
AACCAAUAGUCCAUUUGCCAAUUACCGAUUUGAUUCUGUUAUUACACAUUUUUUAAACAAAUUACUUCCCUUUGUCAAUAGUAGACUGGUUCCAUACCGGACAAAAUUGGCCUUUGCCAAUGCAAAGCAUGAUGAAUUGAAAGUGAUGUAUCUGCGGUUUAACUAAUUUUUCAUGAAAAACAAUUUCUGAUGUCGAAAGUAUUUAGCUUAACAACAUAUUAUUGUAAUUACAAGAUUUCAAAACCUUAUAGAUUACUUAC